rnacentral:rRNA from 1 species
UGCGUAGGUGGCAAGCGUUGUCCGGAUUUACUGGGCGUAAAGAGCGCGCAGGCGGUUCAUCAAGUCGCGUGUGAAAGCCCCCGGCUCAACUGGGGAGGGUCACGCGAUACUGAUCGACUCGAAGGCAGGAGAGGGAAGUGGAAUUCCCGGUGUAGUGGUGAAAUGCGUAGAUAUCGGAAGGAACGCCGGUGGCGAAAGCGACGUACUGGACCUCUUCUGACGCUGAGGCGCGAAAGCUAGGGGAGCAAACGGG